AUGAACAUUGGGGUGCGUGUGGAAUCUAGACAAAGGUGGGAGAAACUGCAGAUGACCACCAGCGAAAGGAGGAAAAUCUUCUGCUCGGUCACUUUCCACGUCAUUGCCAUCACCUGCAUGGUCUGGUCCUUGUACGUGCUGAUAGAUCGGACGGCAGAGGAGAUCAGGCAGGGCAAUGAUAACGGUGUCCUCGAAUGGCCGUUUUGGACAAAGCUGGCUGUGGUGGCCAUCGUCUUCACUGGAGGUCUGGUCUUCAUGUACGCCCAGUGCAAGGUCUACGGCAGCUAUGGCGCAGGCUGAAGGCCUACGACCGCGUGAUCUUUGUGCAGAACUGCCCGGACACAGCCAAGAGGGCGGAGGAGAACCGCUCUUGCACUGUGAGCGUGGGCACCAAGGACGCUGGGGCGCCGCCCGCGUUGCCGACGGGGACCACGGCAUGGCCACCCGCGGAGGCCGGGCCCACCGAGCUCGUUCCCGUGUGACGGGGCCAGCGGGGGUCUGUCACCCAGAGCAGAGUCCCGCCUGUCACUACAGACGACAGGAGCGACCCUCAAUAGUUGCCCUCUAUCUUCUCUCCGCUUUCUGACCCAUUUGUUCUUACUUUGCUCAAAAGGAAAGAAGAAAACACCAAAUGACCAGGAUCCCAUGAAACAGUCUCAAGUGUAAAGAGGAAAUGUAGAAGUUAGCUGGAAAAUGAUCUCUGAGACAAUUCACCACCGGAGCAAGGGAUGCUUUUAGGCAAUGAGGAAAGCCUGAGUGGACAGACCUGUGAGUCCUCACAGUACCGGGGAAAGUUCCAGAGGAAGGACUUGAGUUGAGCAUGUGUUUCUUCUAGGGCCUCAUGAUGCUAACUCUCUCAUCUGGAAAUGACAAAGGUAUUUGGGUUUAAGCUUGAAAUUGUCUGCAUUAUCCCUAAGGCACAUUAGACGCAAACUUGGAAGAUGCAUAUUUUGAUAUUCAUACUUUGACAGCUAACAGGUUUUUAUGGCUAUAGUGGAGUCCAGUUUGUUUUGACCGGUGCAUGUUUUUAAAAUAAAUGCAAGACACGUUUGAAGAUAUUAAUACUUGGAAUUAUGUUUAAAUCAUGAAGAGUAGAUUUUGAAAGAUUUUGGGAUUUAAUUAGUUCUGUUAAAUACCCAGAAGCCUUGUAUACUCCAUUUGGACCCUCUGAAACAGCACUGUCAAACAGAAAUGUAAUGUGAGCCCAAAGGCUGGCUUACAUACGCAAAUUUAAAAUUUUCUAGUAGCACCAUUAGAAAAAGUAAAAAUAAACAGGUGAAUUUCGACAGUGUUUUAUUUAGCAUUAUAUACCCAUUAUCAUUUCAAUGUCAUCAUGAUAAAAAAUUAUUGAGUUAUUUUACAUCUCCUUUUAUGAACCAAGUCUUCAAAAUCCAGUAUGCAUUUCAUCCUUACAGGGAAUCUCAAUUCAAAUCCACUGUAUUGGAUACAGCAGCCCUAAAAUUAGACACAAAACCUGUUUUAACAGUUGAAUCUUUCAAAACAGCACUUCAUUCUUUUUUUCAAAGUAUCACAAAUGUUAUUUUACAAAGCACUAAUCAAAUGAAGUAUCUUAAUAAGUUAGACAAAGUUACUAUUUUUUAAAGAGUAAAAAAACAAAACUAUAAAGCAAUCUGCCUAAGUUUCAAAAUUAACUUAUUUGCUACUAUGAAGCACUUAUCAUAGGGGAAAUAAAAAAUAAUUUUUUAAGUCAAAUGUACUUUUAAAAAUCUACAUAAGGUGUCAACUUGACAGAUGAGUAGUGAGUAGUUAUGACCAAGCAUUUAGACUGUAUUUUAAAGAGCUGACAAUUAUUUCCCUUGCUCAACUGGGAAGCAAAAAACUUUCAAGAUUCUGUGAUAAGUAAUAAAUUGAGUUGUUUAGGUUUGACAGAUGAGUUGAUUAUUGUAUUCUUUGCAUAUUCAUGUGAACCUGAAGCGUGAAUAAUACUGCAGUGAGCUAGACUAAUGAUUAUAAAUAUAGUGGUCUGUCAAAGAGAGAUGUCUUACAUAAAACAAGGUGAUUUAUUUUUGCUAGCUGUUGUUAUUUAUUAUUGUGAAAAGGCAACCAUGAUGGCCAUAGAACCAAAGCAUGGGUUUCGCACUGCACAAAUCUGGGUAUCACAUCAUUGAUGUACUUUGUCAUUGUCAGUGUGCUUGUUCCUUACAGGUUACCAUAGAAAAAGGAAAGAGAGAACCUUUUACUGAGAAGGAUGCUAUGAUACUAGUAGUGGCUGACACUGAGUCCAGAUAGUCCCAGUUCUUAGAAAUAGAGCAAAGGUCAACAGCGUCAACUUUGUGUGCCUGUGAGGUGUGUGUGUUCCUGUAUAUACAUGAGAAAAACGUCAAAGUGUUCAGUCAGGCAGCAAACAAGAGGUUUUUUAAAGCUCAUCUUUCUUAAAGUUUGUUGAAUGAAGGCACAGGGAAAAAAAAAAACACUUGAGGCAACUAAACUGGACCAAAAUUUCUGCACAAUUAAAAUAUAUGAACCUUACACUGGACUUUGUAUUAACUUCUUAAUUUCCAUCUUCAAGGUUUAAGACACAUACAUUCACGGAUAAUGAAGCUUUGGGUGACUUAACCAUGGCACUUCACCCAAGGGACUAAACGUGAUUCAUUUCUUCUGAUAACUUUCCUAAGCAGUUUACUAAUCCAUGUCUCCUGAGGUUUAGCAAUGGCAACACUAACACUUCCACAAGUUCCUGAGGGAACAAAAUCAUCACCAGCAAAGAACCGUUGAUCACUCUGUUGUCUGCUCUGUAAGAAAAAGGAUUAUUUACACCAAAAACACCAUUUCAAUUCUGUCCAAACUCCAGAAAGACAGGUAACUAUAUGGCUCAUUUUACAGUGGAAGAUGAUUGGCUAACAUAAGGCCUGGUUUAUUAAGGGGCUCACUGAACACUAGAAUGAAAAAUAAAGAUAAUCUUUACUGUAUUAAUGAUAAAAGAGGACAUGGUGUUUUAAAACCACACAUAAAUUCUCAAAAUUAACUUAAAUAGGCUUUGUCUUUCUUGAACUGAGAAAAUAUAGAGCUCUCUAAUGGGUUAAAAGUCAGCAUUAUUCUGCUAUUCUUUUUUAAAACCUGAACUCUUGAAUUUAAAUCGUUAAAAAGUUUUCCCAUAAUGGCUGUUGAAGCUUCAAACAACUGAAAUAACUAUGUGUAUUGAAAACCUAGUGUUGAUUGUUUUCUUUUAUAUUGUGUGGCAAUGGUUUCUGACCUUUCAAUGACUGGGUGUGGCUUUGUGAAAAUACUUUCGUGGACUGGAUAUACCCUUCAAAAAGAAAAACUGCUCUCUGGAAUGCUCUUCAAUUUUUUAAAGCGUGUUUACCUGCUUAUUUAAGAAAUAAAAUGGAAUUGAAACAAAGGACUUAAAUUGAAAAAUAAAUUUAUAAUUCUACUAAAACCUUGGCUUUUUAUAAUCACAACUCUGUGGUAUUACCAGUUGUGCUGUUAAUUUUUUUAAAGAACUGUCACUUUUAUUGUAUAAGCUCAAAUAUUAAGUUGUAAAGAAAUGAAAUUCAUUUUUUUUUUUAAAGUGAAGCCAAAAAGGCAAUCAAGCUUAAGUACAAAUGAAACAAAAAUGUUACCAUCAGCUUGGGAUAUAAAACAAUGGAGAAACUGAAGGAAGACAGGUGCAUACAGAAAAGGAGUCUUUCAAAUGCCACCGGAUUAAAUCUCAUUCUGAGCUGCUGCUCAUGUGAUUCUAGUCCCAGAGAGAUAGCUGCAUAGUUAAUCUGUUUUGCACAAGGUCCCUGAACCAUCUGUAUAGUUUGGCUGGAAAACCAGCCCAUUGGAGCAAUGGCGUCACUAACACAUUCUGUCACAGAGGUGAGGUGGAAACUAGCCCAUCAGAGCAAUGGCCUCACUGACGCAUUCUCGUUGUCAUGGAGGUGAGGUGGGAAGAGUGUUUCAUUUGCCUGACACAGUUCUCCUUUCCUUUCAUGGCAGUUAGUAUUUUGGAACAAAGUAGAGCUCUCCAAACUUAACAUUGUCAUUAUUGUAGUUGUCAUAUAAUUGUGUAGGACUUACACUUUAAUUAACAAAGAUGGAAACCAAUUUUCUUCCCUUUUACGGCAGCCCAAAGGUGCUAUUUUACAUAUCAAUACAGUUGAGAGGAAGUACUGUUAUUUUGGGCUGCAGUGUUUCCUCCACAUCUGAAGAAAGCCCAUUUGACACUGCAUUAAGACAAAAGAAAAAUUUUAACUGUGUGCAAUUUUGGGGAUUGAGCAUUUGUACUUUUUUGGUUUUUCCUAAUUCUCUUGCAUUAACAAUUUACUGUUUUGUGAAUUAUGUGUACUAAGACAAAUUAAGGAAAACAAAUAAUUCCCUGUGAAAAAAGACUUUGUAUAUUAAAUAAGUGACCCAAACUUUUGUUGUGAUUUCUUUAUUUUUUGCCUAACUUACCUGAAUUUCUUCAGAUUUGUAUCUGCAACAUUCAAACAGCCUUGAGUUCUUAAGAUUCUGCAAUGUUCUGGGUUUUUAAGCAGGGUCUGAACAUAUUUUAAGGCCAACAUAGGUUGAUUAACACAUGGCAUUUCAGGAAGGAUUAAAUAGGUCCAUUAACAAGGGAAAAUCAAUGAAAAUAAUCUACACAGACUUUCAAACUCUGUUUUAAAGAAAAAAAAAAUUAAGAAAAAUCAGAAUGCAAUCCAGAAAAAGAUUCUCUGAUGAAUAAGGCUUGGAUAUACAAAAGAAUGUAACAGUAUUUUCCUACCCAGAGGUAAUAAAAACUAAAACAGGGAAUCUAAUUCAAACCUAAGUGGGUUAGUGAUCAGUGAAGAAAACACCCCAACUGAAGCCCCAGCUUUGAAGUCUGAAUUCAGGGUCUAAUUGGAUGUGUUCAUUCUUCUGUCCAAACGGAACAUGUGCAUGUGUCUUCUCAGCCUCCCAAAUUACUACACACAAACCUAGAUCAUAGAUCAUUGUCACUGUGUGUUUAGCCAGUGACCAAACCCGGGAGCUGUGACAGAGACACCAAGGGUGGGGUAGACUCUUUAACCCAGGGAAGUGACAGGGCAGGAAGCAGAGUCCUGAACAAGGCCCAUCAGCAAGACCCAGCCAGGGGGGAAACAGUCUGCGCUGGAGUCUCAGCUCACUCCUUACAGAGGCACACAAGGAAGGAGGGAGAGGCGCCAGCUCCUCGGGAGCCCUGCCACAGAGGGAAGGCG